rnacentral:tRNA from 1 species
GGAAACGGUACCGCGGCGGUCCGAGGGCGCGUCUUCAAAACGCGACGAGUUCGUGGCGACACGGACUCUGCGGGUUCGACUCCCGUCCGUUUCCGCCA